rnacentral:sRNA from 1 species
CAUGCCCCUUAUACGCUGGGCUACACACGUGCUACAAUGGGUAGAACAGAGAGUUGCAAAGCCGUGAGGUGAAGCUAAUCUCAGAAAACUAUUCUUAGUUCGGAUUGUACUCUGCAACUCGAGUACAUGAAGUUGGAAUCGCUAGUAAUCGCGAAUCAGCAAUGUCGCGGUGAAUACGUUCUCGGGUCUUGUACACACCGCCCGUCACACCACGAGAGUUGGUUGCACCUGAAGUAGCAGGCCUAACCGUAAGGAGGGAUGCUCCGAGGGUGUGAUUAGCGAUUGGGGUGAAGUCGUAACAAGGUAUCCGUACGGGAACGUGCGGAUGGAUCACCUCCUUUCUAAGGAGUAUAAGUCUUUCUCUAUUCUAUUGGUAAUGUUCUUUACAUUACUUCUGAACAUUGGAAACUAUAUAGUAGAACAAACAAGAAAAAAAUUAACUCUAACAAUUUCUUAGAGUUAGCUGUCAAAAAAUAGAUUAAAAUAAUUAAGGGCACACAAAGGAUGCCUAGGUAGUAAGAGCCGAUGAAGGCACGUGGUAAGCUGCGAUAAGCCUAG